CCAUGACAUUUAAGGCAUGCUCCGAUACAGUGGAUCACAAUUGUUAACGUAUUAAUGUAAGGGUAAUGUUUCUCGUUCUAGUAUAGUUGUAUAUGUUCUCUUCCUAGUAUAGUUGUAUAUGUUCUCGUCCUAGUAUAGUUGUAUAUGUAAUGUACAGUAAUGUUCUAGAAAGUAUUGACUCAUGAAUGAACUGACUCAUUGUAUGAUAUCGCGUUCUAGUAACGGUUCUAGUAUCUUCCUAAACUACCCAUAUGGUAGUUUACUAGCAGUCUAACUGGUACGUAUGGUCAUGGAUGUAUACCCUUGCUAACCAAGGGCAUGGGAUGAACUGGAAAGACCUUUUAUGACUAUAUAUGUACACAUGAUAUAUAACUAAUAUUUAAACGACUUUCGGACGAAUACCCAAUAUCCCACCAGACCACAUCUCAAGGCGCGAAAAGGAAAUAGGGUGGAUAGCCUUCCUAAGUCUUUUAAACAUUUCUUAUAUAACUAUACAUAUAGAGGCAUGCAAUUUAUAAUAUAAAAGCAUAAAUAAGUUUUGUAAGACAUUUGAAACAUAAAUAUUAUUUUAAGAAAAGAUCGACUUGAUGUCAAUCUAUAAAACAAUUUGAAGGCAUAAGUUUGAUAAAACAGUUUAAGUAUAAGGAAACAUUUGUUUGAAACACAGUUGUAAAUAAGUUUGAAAGGUAAUGUACAGAGUAAGAUGUACAGUGUAAUAAGUAGUUUAAAACAUAUAAAAUGUUUAUAAAAAUCAUUUGAAGGAAACUGUUUGGUAAAACGGCUAAUGAGUAGCCAAAUCUUUUGAAUGCUGUAUAUUAAUCACAUGUGAUUGAUGUAAUAACUAGCGUAAUUCUACUUAUUAAUCGCAUGUGAUUGAUAUAAUACUAGCAUGAUUCUACUUGUAUCCCCCCCAUAAAACAUUUAAAAGUAGUUUAAAACAUUAGUUAAGGGGUAUGAACUCACUUGAUUGAAGUGGUUGAUUUGAAAUAGUCUAAAGAAGAAUCGAGCAGAACUUUGACAGGAAGAGUUGAAAGCGGGGGGAAAAUCUCGGGAUUCUCGGGAAUCUCGGGAAUCUCGGGAACAAAAAACCUUCCUUCGGGACUUGAAGGUAAAAACCAGGGCUUCGGGAGCUUAACCGCAUAGUUUCAGCACGAGAGAUGGAAGAAUGGAGCAAAUAAACCUGACACCCCAAGAGUUCUAUUUAUAGGGGCAUUUCUGGUGUGCCACGUCGUGGCUAAGGUUGGCCACGUCGUGGGGAGCAAGCCUUAUCCCCUUCCGUUGAUUGGCCGCCCUCAGUCACUUGCCGGGCCGCGGCCAAGCUGUGCCACGUCGUGGGGGCCUGACAGCCUCGGAUUUUGGACCCCGAACUUGUAAAAUCCGUAACUUUCGCAUACGAGCUCCGUUUUCGACGUUCUUUAUAUGCACGCGUAGCUGAAAAUGUUAUCUACAACUCUCGUUUAGACUUCAUCGGCAAAUUUUGAAUUUAUUUUUAAUUAUUUAUUUUUAACGGGCCGGGACACGAAAAGUCCGUUAAAAAUCCAUAACUUCUUCAUCCGGUGUCCGUUUUCGUCAGACUUUUCGCCGUUGCGCUACUAAUGUUGAGACCUUAGAUUCUCAUUUAGGUUGUUUUGGUCAAAACUAUCUCGAGCUCUAUUUCGAGUUUUUAGCUGUCUACUGCUAUACCCGAAUCUUGGAAAAAUCAUAACUUUCUCAUACGAAGUCAGAUUUGGACGUUCUUUUUAUGUACGCUCACGGUUUGAGGUUAUCUAUAACUUCCAUUUAGAUACGUAAGGCUAAAAACUAUUGUAUUGAAACUUCGCAUUUUUCGUUUAAUCGGUGUUGUCGGAUAUAACUUCUUCGUUAUAACUCGGAUACGAUUCCUACUACUUUAUUUAACCCAAAUAAGAUUUUAGGAAAGUUAUAUUUUGACCUAAGUUUGAUUGGUUUGACAUUACAUUGUCUCGAAAUAUCGGGUUGUCACAUCAUCCCCCCGUUACAGGAAAUUUGUCCCGAAAUUAGAAUUUAAGCAAGGAAGUAUGCACGAAUGAUUGAGUCGUGAGGAGGAAACUUCCUAAUCGAUUGGUUCUAACGCACCUAAGUGAUAACGGGUUCUCGGUUGGCAUUCCAACGAACCUUCACUAACUGGCGAUGGCGUUUCUUCGUCCGCUUGACCUCUCGGUCGAGGGUCACUACGGUUCUAAUACGAAGGCGAGGAUCUCGACGAGUGGACCUGCAAGAGUCCUAACAGAAAGGUAUGGUUUCACGAUCGAGAUGCGAAGAGUAGAAAGUACGUUACUGUGUUCGCGGAGUAGGUCUAGUUUGUGUAAGGCACAGGACCAAUUCUGAUAAGAGUCUCGGAGGUCCUGUCUAACUUGGAUUUAGCUUUCCACGCUUUAAGAAGCGUAUUAAGCCAUUCCCAGAGUGAGUUAUCCUAAAGAACUUGGUCACUCACUUGGAAUCUCAAAGGUUCUUUUUCUUGCGUAACUUCCCAGUCAAAGGAAACCCCUUGCUGGGUCAAAGUCGUACGAGUUUCUAUAGCUUGCGAGGAGUUCUGAAUGAACUAAGGCGGUAGGUCGGUAAGACCUAGAAUCUGGCGAAAAACUGUCGGCGUCUCUGGUGUCGAUAAAUGCUCAACAGUUUUGACAAAUUGAAAGAGUACUCAUAAUUUCUCACAUUACUAACAGUGUGUCCUAGAAAUUUGACUCUUCAAUUUCAAAACUCGCGCCUAUAGAACUUUGCUAAAAGUUCCUCUAUAGGAAUGUUACCAUGGUCUUUCUUCUUACUACGAGGGUAGAUAAGUAAGUCAUUACAUGGAGAAAUGAUGACUGAUCCCAGUAAGAAAGACGUAACUCUAUUUAUUUAGCUCAUGAAAACUAUGGGCGUAUUGGUCCUAUCCGAAAGGUAUCACUACGAACUCGAAGUGUCCGCAUCGAGUUCAGGAGAUAGUCUUCCGGACAUCCUCCCCUAACACUCGAACUGGUGAUAUUCGGAUUCCAGAUCCAUUCCUGGAAGUAGUUUCUUUCCUUGCGUUUGCUCAACCAUUUUGUCUAUGCGAGGCAGAGAUAACGAUUUCUAUGAAAAUCUUGACGGAGUCCUCGAUAUCCGAGGCACAUACGUUGCAAUCCGUCGAUCUCCGCGAGAAUAUGACCGGGGUUCUCUAGGGUGAGAAGCCUAGUCUUCUAAUUCUCUUUCUGUGUAGUUCGUCAAGUGGUUUGUACUGUUCUGGUAUCUCCAAGGGUGUUUAAACUAUAGGGCGAUCUGUUUUCGGGAGUCGUACUGGGUGCUAAAUUUGUUCACAUGACAAUGUGAUUACUCGUAUACUUAGGCAGUUCUCCGUCCUCCAGUCCAUUUUAGAAUUUAUACAGGGCUUCACGAUCACAAUCUCGUGUAUACGAGUCGUAUAUAAUUAAGAUUGAAAAGGUAGUCGAAUAACUGAUUCUUCCUUACCCUCACAUCCCAUCCGGGAAAAGAAGUUAAAGUGGAAUCAUCAAUUCUAAACCUGUAGAACCUUGAUUAUAUAUCACUCUUAUGCAUACAUUUCUCAGUGAUAGAUCAAUCGUAUAAAUCCUUGGAUUGAACUUGACGUACUGCACGAGUAGUACUUCGGGGAUUUCUUCGGAAAGAAAAUAACUAAGUGGUACUCCUGGCAUGAGUACUACGGUGUUCUGAUAUGACGGCUUCGCUGGAAAAACGAUUUAGAAGAAAGAGAUGUACAUAUGAAGCUGUUUUUGCGUCGAUCAAAUUGAAUCUGAUUGUAUGAUAACAUCGGAAUCAUACAUAAACUUUAAAGACAUUAGAAUUAAACAUAGACGAUUACAGACAAAACACAACUGUGCAACCAUGAACAGAGUUACAGUACUUUAGAUUUACCACAAGACUAUUGCUGCGAAUAAGAUAUACUACAAAAGACAAGUAUACGCAGCACGAGAAUUCCUAUACAGACAGGAUCUCGCAAAAGGUAAGACUCUAGUUGCACUAGUUCUAGAUAGUUUAUAAGUCUGUUACAACGAAACGCCCAAAUUACAUUUAACGUGGUUCCGGAGUGGGCUCUCCUGCAGCUGUGAUCCUGAGAAUUUUCCCAUCUGCGCCAGAGUUCUUUGUUAUCGGGCAAUCUUUCUUGAAGUGCCCUACCUCACCGCAUCGGUGGCAUGAUUGGCUAGUACCAGCUUUGGUGACGGGAUUUCGGUGUUUAGCCAAGGUUAUGUGGACACGAGUGCCUUCCUCGUUACUCCACUUUGAAAAUUUCUUCUUAAAUCGUUCGGCGCUAUAACUAAUCUUGUGUGCAGGGUUAGUCCCGAUGAAAGGGACUUGAGUGAUGGGUCGCGCCGGUGCUCCACAGUUACGAGCAUGGUGCCCUAUGUUUAGGCAAUUGCAACACUGCAUCUCAUGGCAAGCCCCAUGAUGAUGGAAACUACACUUAUCACACUUCGGGAGUUUUCCCUCGUAUGGCAUGCUCGGUACUGGGAUGGCAGGGGUUUCCACUUGCUGCUGUUGUAUAGCCAGCUUUUGGGAUCUCUUGCGUUCCUUCCGGGCUUGACGCUUUCAUUUCUUGUUUUUUGUUUUUCGGCUUUGCGAGCCUGUGAUUGUUACUGUUUGACGACCUCCUGGAUGGAUACCACGAUUGGAAACUUCGUUCCCAUCAGUUGUAUUGACUGUGCAGUUAGCGCUACGGUGUGCAAGGACCGCAGUUACGGAAGCCACCACGGCAGCUGUAACUGUUGUUUGAAAGGUAGCGGCGUCCAUAGGAAAAGUGGGGGUUUCGCUGAUCGACUUAUUGCUUCUGGAUGACGACAUGAUUCUAUAACACGAAAAGUAAGGAUUUUGUGAGCGAUUCUGGUUGACCCUGAUGUACUUAGAUUGUUCAUGUAAAGAGUACGACGAUGUUCUCGAAAGUUUGACCUACAUCCCUAUGAUGCAGUCCUAGUACAGAAUGAAAGUAUGUUCGCGAAGGUUUGACCUACAUCCCUAUGAUGCAGUCCUAGUAAUGAGUAGAGGUAAGUUCGUAGAAUGGUCUCAAGACGUUUGUUGUACAAGUUGAGGUAUCGUGGGUUGGUGAAUAACAAAAUCCAACCACUGAAAGAGACUUGGAAAUGUCUCCGUAUCUAACUUGCUAUGGUCCAAUGACUUAACUAAAGCAGGUUUCAGAUAGACUCCAAUGAGAGUAUGAUAAGAGUACUUGAAUGAAGGAAAUGACACAAAAGUUAGCCGGCUGUCAAUAUCUUGGAUAUUUACGACGUAAAGGUUCAGGAAAAUGACCUUGUAAAGGUCUUACAUCAUAUCCACAGGAGAUAGUUCCUGACAGCAUAAAGACCUAACUAAAGUACUUACGGUACAAGAUAAUUUCAUAGAAAAUGCCACAUCAGGCAUAGACAGAAAAAUACGAUUCCUCUUUAUAAGGAAAUAAAGUAAAGCGUCUACUACUGGCGACGGUCAUCCCUCUGGUGAACGCUUAGUUCAGCCAAUUGACGUUCCACGUCACGUAGGUGUCUUUCGCACACCAUCUGGCGUACUCGGAGCCCUAUGACUUCGGCUCGUGAUUCAGUCAGUGCUUGCAGUAGGGUUUCAUGGUUUCUCUCUGAUCUCUCGUGAGCAUCUUCUAGAUGAAUGGUGUGGAGGGUAUGCAUUCUAGCAUAGGAGACUACUUCUGCAAUCUGAUGUAGGGCUGUCAUGCCUUGAAUCUCAUUUCAGGACAGUCUGCGGACCUAGAUUGGCAAGACUCUAUCUGUUGAGCCCCCCUUGUUCAAGUUGCAAAAGCUUUGGUCGCCAUCAAAUGGCAUAGACUGAUCUUGUCCUUGGCUCCCUGUUUCCAAGCAUUCCACUCACUCGGGGUCGGGCCAUGAAAAGUCGGACGAGGGUUAAGAGUUGGAACGGGAGUUGCUCGGGGUAGGUUCUCAACUUCUGGUUCGGAGUUAGCAUCAUACGAAAAGUCUUCAUCAUGGUGAUCAUCCAAGGGGAUAGGAUGAUCAUUCACUGGUUCUUCUCCAAACCAACCAGCUAUGACUUCAUUCGGAAGAUACUGGUUGUCAAGGGGAUGGAGUCCAGCUAUGAUUUCUAUGCGAGAAUUUAGGGUAAGUGGAUAAUUAUUAGACGAACUAUCUAGAUAAUUAUUUAGAAAACCUUCAUUAGUUACAUCGCUAUUUGUGAAGUGCAUACCAGCUAUGUGUAAUCUAAACAGGAUAGACCUUCGAAUAAGUGACCUUAAUUCCAAAUUCACACAGAAUAGGGGUAAGGCAAAAUUUUCACAGAUUCUAAGUCUAUAACAUCCUAAUUACAUAUAGCCUUAGUGUAUCCACUUAGCAACUAUCAACUUAGUAAUGAAGAUCCCGUUUUAAUUCUCAAGUAUAAAGUACUUAUAGUAACACCAAAUACUCCUAUAGUAUUUUAAUUUUAAUGUUAUGUUCUAUUGUUCUCAUUGUGGUAGGGUUGGUAAGAUUUUAGCAUUGUUGCAACCACACACUUAAACUUAGGCACAUGCUAGUCAACCCUCGGAUAAUAUAGGCGAUCAGGCUAUAUCUUCCCAGUUUUGACCAUAUGUCUCUAAGCCCACUUGUGUUGCCCAACAAUCGUAAUUCUUUUGUACUGUCCUAGUGACACUGAUUUUAGUAUGAAUGCAGCACGUAUACUUUAUUAAAUAUUUUACUAUUUAAAGUAUAAACUCUUGGUCAGAGUAUUUUUAAUCCCUUAUGUAUUUAUAGUUAGUAUAUCUUUUAUGGGUUGAUAUACUUAAUUCACUAUAAACAAUGCUCUGAUACCAAUAUGUCACACCCCAAAACCGAGAACGGCGGAAACGUUCUGGGGCGGAGGACGUCAUGUAUAAUAUCAACAACAAUGUAAAGUAGUAAACAAGCAACAACAUCAUCCAUUGCAUUAAUAAAAUAAUUAUUAUACAAUUGUAUUCUGUCAAAUUUUGAUAAACACUAAAGCAUAAAUCAAAAUGAAAGAUAAGUCUUGAACAAGCUCCAUCUUCCUUUCUCCUUGCAUCGGUACCUGUCUAUGAUGACCUGAGGAUACAAGUAAUUUUGAAAGCGAGUAUCAGCUUUGAAGCUGGUGAGAUCAUAAGUAUUUAGUGUCUUAAUUUGUAUGUAAGAAUUUGUAAGUCUAUGUAUUGUAAGAAUUUGAAAGUGUAUAUGAAUUGUAAGUGUUUGAAAAACCCUAGAAUCCCUAUGAUUCCUUCUAGUAUAUGAAGGUGUCUUCUACCAAGACCUAACUGUUCUGUGUGUGUGUCUCUUGUAAGAGUAAGUAUUUUCCAAAGUAUAACUAUCAUUAUCCAAAAAUAUAGUUUGUACAUUUAUGUUUAAGUGAGGUUAUCACUAAAAAUAUGUAAUGGGAAAAUUAACGUAGUACUACAACGUAGCUCUAAAAGGACUACUACCGUACUAACUACCUUAAACUGGAUUUUAGGCUAAGGCACUAUGUGAUAAAUUGCACCAUACUAUCGACUGAUAACAACGACAUAAGAAUGGUCGUAAUAACGGAAUGACGUUUGGCACCCGCAGACCUGCAGGUCCGGCUGUAGCUAGCAGUAAGGUGUAGGAUUGUCAAUCCAGUAUAGAUCUAUACGCAAACUCACGCUCUCCCUCCAAGAGAAUUCUGGCUACAACUCGGGCCAUGACAUUUAAGGCAUGCUCCGAUACAGUGGAUCACAAUUGUUAACGUAUUAAUGUAAGGGUAAUGUUUCUCGUUCUAGUAUAGUUGUAUAUGUUCUCGUUCUAGUAUAGUUGUAUAUGUUCUCGUCCUAGUAUAGUUGUAUAUGUAAUGUACAGUAAUGUUCUAGAAAGUAUUGACUCAUGAAUGAACUGACUCAUUGUAUGAUAUCGCGUUCUAGUAACGGUUCUAGUAUCUUCCUAAACUACCCAUAUGGUAGUUUACUAGCAGUCUAACUGGUACGUAUGGUCAUGGAUGUAUACCCUUACUAACUAAGGGCAUGGGAUGAACUGGAAAGACCUUUUAUGACUAUAUAUGUACACAUGAUAUAUAACUAAUAUUUAAACGACUUUCGGACGAAUACCCAAUAUCCCACCAGACCACAUCUCAAGGCGCGAAAAGGAAAUAGGGUGGAUAGCCUUCCUAAGUCUUUUAAACAUUUCUUAUAUAACUAUACAUAUAGAGGCAUGCAAUUUAUAAUAUAAAAGCAUAAAUAAAUUUUGUAAGACAUUUGAAACAUAAAUAUUAUUUUAAGAAAAGAUCGACUUGAUGUCGAUCUACAAAACAAUUUGAAGGCAUAAGUAUGAUAAAACAGUGUUGAGUAUAAGGAAACAUUUGUUUGAAACACAGUUGGAAAUAAGUUUGAAAGGUAAUGUACCGAGUAAGAUCUAUAGUGUAAUAAGUAGUUUAAAACAUAUAAAAUGUUUAUAAAAAUCAUUUGAAGGAAACUGUUUGGUAAAACGGCUAAUGAGUAGCCAAAUCUUUU
rnacentral:lncRNA from 1 species